rnacentral:rRNA from 1 species
GACGAACGCUGGCGGCGUGCCUAAUACAUGCAAGUAGAACGCACAGUUUAUACCGUAGCUUGCUACACCAUAGACUGUGAGUUGCGAACGGGUGAGUAACGCGUAGGUAACCUGCCUGGUAGCGGGGGAUAACUAUUGGAAACGAUAGCUAAUACCGCAUAAUAUUGAUUAUUGCAUGAUAAUUGAUUGAAAGAUGCUAUUGCAUCACUACCAGAUGGACCUGCGUUGUAUUAGCUAGUAGGUGAGGUAACGGCUCACCUAGGCGACGAUACAUAGCCGACCUGAGAGGGUGGUCGGCCACACUGGGACUGAGACACGGCCCAGACUCCUACGGGAGGCAGCAGUAGGGAAUCUUCGGCAAUGGACGAAAGUCUGACCGAGCAACGCCGCGGGAGUGAAGAAGGUUGUCGGAUCGUAAAGCUCUGUUGUAAGAGAAGAACGGGUGUGAGAGUGGAAAGUUCACACUGUGACGGUAUCUUACCAGAAAGGGACGGCUAACUACGUG